GCUUUACGUCCUAAGCAAAAGUAUUCUUUUUCGGGGAACCACUGCCCAAGCUGUGAAGGGAGAAGUUUACGCCAUUCCGACACACCUGUGUAGCGCCCAUGCAAAGCCUUUUUCUCAGCCAGGCACAGCAGAAGUCCCUGGGGAUGAAGAGACCUCUUUGGUGAGACACGGCUUUUUGGGUGACAGAGAAGUCAUCACCGCAGGAGCAAGGGCGGGGCUGCCGGGACGCUCAGCUGAAGGGUCUGAUGGCCACUCUGGGUUGCUGUGGUGUGGACGGUCCAGCAUCCUAGCUGGAACAGCUUCCUCUGUCUGGGAGCUUUGCUGUGUGACGAUCAGCUGCCUUUCGACUUGGCCAGGCUGCAGAUAGGUGCUUGGUCCAUCUCCCAGGAUGGGGUGUGGUGACAUCAUCGCAGCUCACUGCAAAGUCAAACUCCUGGACUCAAGUGAUCCUCCUGCCUCAGCUGGGACUACAGACGCACACCCUGAUGCCAUGACAUGUG